AUCUUUCUGGUUCAUGAGCAUGAUGAUCGGUGACGUCAUGACGCAUUCAUGACAGGUGCGGCCUUUCACCUUGUUACGUUUCGCGCCUCAGCCCGUCUGACC